GGCGUGGGCAUGGGGGAGGGGUGGGCCUUAAAGGGGAGGAUGUCCAGCGGCGGGAGAGCAAUGGGACCUGGUUGGCCGGGACUGCUAGCCGGCGGUCAGGGAGAGAGCACGGAGAAAUCCUAGUUCUUAACCAGGGCCAGGCAAAGGGAAGGGGGAAGCGCAACAGAAAAGCAGCAGAAUAAUUCUAACAAAAUCUGUAGUUCCCCAGCUGCUCGGAUCUAGAAGAUAGGUCAUCGGAGAAUUUGGAGAGGGGGCUCUAUUUUGAAAGAAACCGGUGAUUGGUAAAAAUUUACCUACAUGGAUCCUGGGAUAUGGGGGGUACUGGGAUAGUGCUGGGGUUACGGAGGCUAUUCAUCCUAGGAUCAGGUGCCAGGCAACAGUCACGAUUUCCAUAACAUGCUUGGUGUUUUACACUUUUUUCUCAUGGAUUGUGUUUUUCAGUGAAAAUGUAUUGUUGUGUAAUUUGUGCUUUGAACAUAUUUUUAAUGUAAAUCCAAAAUGACCCAAGAUGGGAAAGGAAUGGGGCACUGUAGACCCCGUAAUCCCAGCUAUGCAGGAGGCUGAAACGGGAGGAUGACAGGUCAGAGGGCUAGCCUGAGCAACAAAGGCAGGCUUUAUCUCAAAACACCCACAGACCUCACGCCUCUCCUAUAUAUACCUUUUCAUUGUGUUUCGAAUUCAUGGAGUUAAUAUAGCAAGGGGAAAUGGCCGGGGAAUGAUUCUAGGGUUGGGGGAAUUCAUCCCUGAGGCUACAAAUGGUGAGAUUUCUGUGUCCCAGGAAAACUCUGGAGCUGGGGCAGUGUCCUGAGCAAAGGGCCUGGGAUACAUAGCCCAGGAGGGUGAGGCUGUUUUGCUGGUGUCUACUCCCUGUUCGGAUUUUCAGACGAUGCUUAUCUCAAGGAAGGCAGAGACAAAAAGGCGAAGGACUACAGUCACCCUCUCAGGAUCCAGCAAAACUCACUGUGGACCAAGGAGACAACUGGUCCCCUUUCAGGUAGCACUGCCUUCAGUACUGUGUGUGUUCAGUGCUCUGUGCUCAGCCCUGCGGUGACAGAUGGUGAUAAUCCCAGUCUAAUGGGGAAGGCACAGUAGUUGGGUCGGCAGUGUGGCAGAGGUGUGCCUGGGGAUAGAAGGCAGAUGAACUCACUUCGGUCUGCAGCUGCAUAGCCUCCUUCUACCCCUAAAAAUGGAGCUAGACAAUUCCAGGUUUCCCUGACUUUUUAAAGGCACCACUUGAGACCACGAAGAUGCAGGGCCGGAGAAAGGAACACAGGGAUGAUGAUGAUGAGGAGGUCCUCAGGGGCUCAGGUGGAAGGGGCUCCCAUCCUAACUCCCUCAGCUCUGUGUUGCCCUGCACCACCCACAGGGCAGGGUGGGGUCUCCAGGACUUCUUGUUGGCAUUCAGCGGUCACCUAUUUCUUUCCACGAGGCUGGGAAGAGAAUGAGCUCUUCAGAGGCACCAAGGCACAGUGGGAAACUACAAAAUAGAAACGAGCAAAAUCCAGUUGCCGUAGCGAGGUAGCUUAAGCACCUCUAUCUGGAAAAAUGAGAAAAAAAAAAUCUUAACAUUUCCAUUCAUAACUGAGUAACAAUUAAAUGAGAUGGCAUCUAUGAUAACGCUUCACAAGGCAUACAGCAUCAGUUCUCAGGAGAUAUUAAACACCACCGGUCCUCAAGCGUUGCUUCCUUGCUUCUUGCUCCAUUCCCAUUGCCUAGCAACCUGUUCCUGAUACUGAGCUGCCUUCCUGUGCAAGGGGAAUUCUGGGGCAGUGCCUAAACCUGAGGUCCUGGGACCAACGGAUCACAGAAAUCCACGGGGGAGUUUCUGCUGGAGUUACAAAGGCCAGAUGCACCUAGGGAACACACAGGACAGCUAAGACACAUAUUCCACAUACACACCCCAAAAGUACACUCAUGUGAACACAGCUCAAAAGGACAAGACAUCCGGCACAGGACAGUGUAAAUGUGUAACCAAUGAACAGCCGGACAGUAGGAUGAGCCACAGGAAAGGCACUCUACAAAGAGACCCAGAGCCUUGGAUUCUAACACUGGCUAGCCAUGUGACCUCACAAAAGUCCCUCAAUUUCUUCCUUCCUGUCUAAAAAGUAGUGGAAAUAACAUCUGCUGUACCCACAUUGUAGAGGUAACAUAAGAUCAAAAUAAAACCCAGAGUCCUGUUGGUCAACCACUGAGCUUUCGGUCAUCUGCAGCGAGCUGCUCAAGCGAGCGUUGUUAAGGAUGUGUAAAAGCACUUCAGAAGCUGGAAGUCAGGCUGGGCUGGAGGGCAGUAAGAAAGUAUAUGCUGAUCGUGUGCAAAGCCCUCAGUAUGAGCCCCAGCAAAGCAUUACAAAAAAAGAAAUUGUUGUUGGAAAUCUAUUUUAAAAAAAAGUAUGAUUUGUAUUGACGUGCAAAUGCAUAUAUCAGGUAAUAUAGUGUACAUGAAGGUAAUUUAAGGACCAAAAGUAUAUAGAAUUACAUCAGUUGUAGUUCCAGAUUCAUGGCACAUGUUUAUUAUUGGAUCAUUGGUCUGUGUGUUUCUGUUUUUAUUUGGUUAUAGUUAUUUAAUAAUGCCAUAGGCACCUGUGGACCUGCUACCCAAAACACCAGCUAGGACUUGGACAAUAGCAUGCAUCUAAAGAGAUGAUUCCCAGACCACCCUUCAACCCAUCCCUGUGUGUGUUACCCAAGACAACCAUCACCUGCAUGCUCUAUUCACCUUUGCCUUGCUUUCCUGCUUACACGGUUUCCCUUUAUGAGGGCAUGUUUAAAGGGAUCUUUAAAAGCUGGACAGCAAGAUUGAAACCUGUCAUCUCAGCACUUAGGAGGAGGAUGCAGGAGGAUUGACGUAAGUUUGAGGCUACUCUAGGUUGCAUCGUGAGUUUCGGGACAGCCCGGGCUCCAAAGCAUAACUCUGUCUCAAACAAACCAAAAUGAAAUAAAAACGAUAUAAAAGGUGAAACUUCUUUUAAAAGAAGAGAAGCCGCCGGGGAUUACUUUAUCAGCAAGAUGCAGUUGAAAUAAGGAAACCCAUCGUCAUAGUUGUGAAAUAUCCUCCACCUUCUCUCGGAGAGGAUGAAGAUGGCAAUGGGAACGACAGCUAGAAUGAAACUCUCUGGAGGCUGGGCGGCCCUCUUGCGUUUUCAUUUCCUCAUGGAAAUGAAAGCUGUAGUUCAAAGGUGACAGCAUAGGUCGAUGUCAAUCUGCAUAGUUGGAACCAUCCAGGAGCCAAGGACAGUACCUUUCCAACAAACUCCCCUAAGCCCCAAUUCAAACCACCAAGGAGUAAAAGUUUCCCAUUUCAUUCUGAUGUGGUGUGAAGAGUGGAUGAUGUAGAGUGGAGAUCCAGAGGUCAGUGUCUUAGAAUGUUCAAAAAGCUUCUCCGGGCAAGAUAGAGCCCCCCCACCAUGACUGCCUGAAAUGAGGUGCACACAGAUGAAGCAGCUUUGGGUCCGUGGCUAGUAUGACAGAUCAGGUCUCAGUGGACUCACCCCUGUCAUGACUGGAUGACAAAAGGAGCCAAGCCACCUUCAAGCCACAGGACUAAAUUUCAUAGAUAAAAUGAGAAAUUCUCCAAAGCAAAACAGCAACAAAUACCUAAGAAUCGUUAGUAACAGAAAUUUCUGACCCAGAAAGCGACUUCAAAAUAGUAGUCCCCGGUGGUUCCCAUCCUCCCUUUCCAUCUCAGGAAAAGAAACUCUACCAAACCAAGUGCUGUUGGCAGUGCCUUCCCUGAGAACCUCCCAGCGGAGCAAGUGCUGUGCUCCCCCACGGGCAGUAUACCCUUAUCUGCACCCCAGUCUUUGUCAGUUGAAGCCACAACAACGAGGAACGGCUGGAGCAGCUGUGAAGAAUGGGAAUGGAAAGAGAAAGAGGAAGAACCCAAAGAGGAAUAGAAACUUCACCUCUGCAAGUCAACAGCAUAGCCAGGUCCAGCCUAAUGAGACCAAACUCAGAGUCCCAGACACGCAGGCUGGCAAGUGUCUACCUGCAUUCCAGUGGACCCAGCCCAGGCUCCGGCAUCAAGGGUUCUGCCCUCUAUUUAUCAUGUACCUUGCACACCCCUUGCUACUCAGGUGAAUGUACAGCCUGGAUAAUGUGUUGGGGAAGAAAUAAAAGAAAAAGGAACUCGCCGUCCAGGAAUACAACUAGGGCGGGUCAAUGAAAGCGAUGCAUGGGUCUUUGCUGGUGACCAGGUGGUGCCUGGUGUUUUGUCACUUGUAAACAGAGGGAGGAAGGAGGGCAGAAUGGUUAGAGAGGAUGUGUGUGAGCAUGUACGGGUGGAGGUUUCCUAAAGAUACAAUGAUGAACAGCUUCAUCACAGAACAUAUUUUUGAGGUAGCCGAGAAUGGUGGAAUCAAAUCCAGGGGUUCGAAUCCCAAUCACACAUCAGCGUUGCCUUGUAUGAUGAAGAGAUGUUAUUGCCUUGAUUCAGUACGAGAACGAUAGUUUGAGCUGUUCUUGGCACAUAGUAAUUGGCUUCUGUCAACAUGAACUGUUGUUGAUAUGACAGAUACUUUCAUAAGAAUCAUCUCAUUCUGCUGGGGAUGCAGUUCAGUGUCAGAGCGUGCACGUGCACACACACACAGCCUUAGAAAUUGUGGCUCACGCCUGUAAUUUUCACACUCAGGAGCCAAGGUAGGAGAAUUACUACAAAUUUGAGGCCAGCCUGGGCUACAUAAUGAGUUCCAGGACAGCAUGGGCUACAGGGUAAGACCCUGUCUCAACAAUGAAAACAAUAAAAAGAAUCGUCUCGUUCUACCUUCUCAGUUACA